UUAAAGUUUUAUUUUAACUUAAAAUUUCAGUUUAUUGUUAAUUAAUAUGUAUAUAUUAUAUUAAAAAUUUAUUUGCAGUUUUUAAUUUUUAAAAAUUAUUUAAGUAAGCUUUAGUAAUUAAUUAUAGAUUUAAUAAAAUUUGUGCCAGCAAUUCCGGUUAUACAAAUAAUUCAAUUGAAAUUUAUUCCUUAAAAAUUAAUUUUUUUUAAUAUAUUUAUUAUUAAAAUUUUUAAGUGUAAUUUAAAUUUUAAUAUAAAUUAUUUAUUUAUAUUUUAAGUUAUUAAAUUUAAUAUUAAACUAGGAUUAGAUACCCUAUUAUUAUAAUUGUAAAUUUUAAAUACCAGAUUAGUAUUAGUUGUUUUCUUAAAAUUUAAAAAAUUUGGCGGUAUUAUAAUCUAUUCAGAGGAAGCUGUCCUGUAAUCGAUAAUGCACGAUUAGAAUUAGAUUUUUUUUCUUCUAUAUCAUUAUUUUUGAAUAUUUUAUAAGAAUUAUAAUUUUCAAAAAGUAUAUUUUAGUUAAUUUCAGAUCAAGGUGCAGUUAAUAGAAAACAACAAAUGGGUUAUUUUAAAUUUAUUUUCGGUUUAUUAUUUUGAAUAAUAUUAUUAAAUUGGAUUUGAUAGUAAUAUAUAUAAUUAUUAUAUGAUUUUAGCUCUAAAAUGUGUACAUAUUGCCCGUCGCUCUCAUUUAUUUGAAAAAAGUCGUAACAAAGUAGAUUUACUGGAAAGUGAAUCUAGUAUUAGU
rnacentral:ncRNA from 1 species